ACUGGCAUAAUGAUGAUUUCCUUUUUGCCGUUUACCCAACUGAAUGUAUUUCGUUGAUGUAUAUUUCUGAAUCUGAGAUGCCAGC
ensembl:snoRNA